GACGUAGGGCGCGAGCGUUGUCCGGAUUUAUUGGGCGUAAAGAGCUCGUAGGCGGUGUGUCGCGUCGGCCGUGAAAACCUGCAGCUUAACUGUGGGCGUGCGGUCGAUACGGGCAUCACUGGAGUUCGGCAGGGGAGACUGGAAUUCCUGGUGUAGCGGUGAAAUGCGCAGAUAUCAGGAGGAACACCGGUGGCGAAGGCGGGUCUCUGGGCCGAUACUGAUGCUGAGGAGCGAAAGCGUGGGGAGCAAACAGG
rnacentral:rRNA from 1 species